GAUCAUGGCUCAGGACGAACGCUGGCGGCGUGCUUCAUACAUGCAAGUCGAACGAUAAGGCGCCUUCGGGCGCACAUAAGUGGCGGACGGGUGAGUAAUGUGUAGAGAAUCUGCCCUAGAGCGGGGGACAACCGUUGGAAACGACAGCUAAUACCCCAUAUGAGCGUAGUUGAAAUACUAUUCUUGAAAACUCCGGUGCUCUGGGAUGAGUCUGCAUCUGAUUAGCUAGUUGGGGGUGUAAUGGACCACCAAGGCGAUGAUCAGUAGCUGGUUUGAGAGGAUGAUCAGCCACAAUGGGACUGAGACACGGCCCAUACUCCUACGGGAGGCAGCAGUAGGGAAUUCUGCGCAAUGGGGGGAAAAACCCCCUGACGCAGCAACGCCGCGUGACCGAUGAAGCCCUUCGGGGUGUAAAGGUCUGUCAGUGGGGACGAAUUUUGACGGUACCCACAGAGGAAGCACCGGCUAACUCCGUGCCAGCCGCGGC
rnacentral:rRNA from 1 species